ensembl:lncRNA
GGGUGGCACGCCUUGCAGGAGGGGGCAGCCAGGGACAGGGAGCAGCAGGAUUGCUAGCGGUGUGUUUCUGGCCGUGCAUCUCCAGACUUCUGCAUUUCUGUGGCAGCAGCCCAGCCCGAGGCUCAGGGUGAGGAGGCAUGCCUGGGCAUGUCUGGUGGGGCAGGCUGGUGAGGACGCCACUUGCAUGAAGACAGCAGGAUCCCUGGAGCCGAGACUGGACUCGGAGGCGUGGCUCACAAAUCCUCGAGACCCCUGAGUCACCCCUCAAGUUAAACAGGAAAACAGCAAAUUGAUUUAAUCUACAGUACCCCUCAGGUUCACUACAAUAUGUGGGCACCUAGAUACAUCAUAGCGAAAAUGCAAGUUCCUAUAGCUCCAUAUCUAGAGUUCUUGGUGAAGUCUAACUUUAAUACUGGAAAACUUCAGGCGCUCUGGCCCUCUAGAUGCCCAGCCACCCCAGCCUUGUCAUCUGGAGUGACCAGACCCUCUCUGGGAGGUGUGUGGCUGGUGGUUACGAACUCAGCCUCAAACCAAACCAUGUGGGUUUAUUUCCUGCCUUGACCAGCUCUGAGUCCACAUCCCUGAGCCCAGACCCUGUGCUAAACUUGCCUUGACUCCGCCCCUUGCACUUCUGGGGACUCAAAUUUUGUUCCUGAGCUCUAUUUCCUUGCUGAAUCCCCUCUCUCAGAAAGCCUGCCUGAACCCCUUAUUUCUUGUUUAGAAAAUUUGUCUCCUAACCUAGGAGUUGGCAAACCAUGGCCUGUGAGCCAUAUCUGGCCCACCGCCUGUUCUUGUAAAUAAAGUUUUAUUGCGACACAGCCAUUCUCAUGCAUUUACACAUGGUCUGUGGCUGCUUUCCUGGCACAACAGCAGCUGAGUAGUUGUGACAGAGGAAAUAUGGCCCUCCAGUCUAAAACAUUCACUAUCUGGCCCUUGACUGAAAAAGUUUAGUGUUCCUUGUCUGUGUGGGUUGAAUUAUGUCCUCUGAAAAAGAUGUGUUGAAUCUCCAGUACCUCAGCAUGUGGCCUUGUUUGGAAAUAGCAUUGUUAUAGAAGUAAUCACAUUAAAAUGAGGUCAUGAGGGUGAGCCCAAAUCCGAUAUGACUACUGUCCUUAUAAAAAUGGGAAAUUUGGACACAGAGUGUAUUAGCUAUGUUUUCUUAUUUUCUGCAUUUUUGAUGCUCUGGCAUCUGGGGCUUUGGUGACUGGAGUGGGACUGCCCCUCCCAGGGCUAGCCAGUCCCUAGAGAUAGCAAAUGACUUGCACAGAACCACACCCUUCAUGCAUCCUCACCCAUCUGGAGCCCAUUCUCCAAACCACCUCCUCUGUCUGGCUCUUACGCUCCAGGAGGCAAUGGCAAUAUUCCUAAUCACCCAAGGGCAGCAUGGGACCACUAGGAGCACCCCCACAGCCCAGAGCCUGCUGACAUUAUUCAACCCAUCCAAUCCGAAACCUGCUCAGCUUGCGCACCUUGUUUUCCUCCUUCCUUCCCAUGAAAACCACAAUAAGGACUCCUGCCCACACUUUCUCCUCGCUCCUUCUGCCUCCUCACCAGCGCUGCUGCUUCCCUCUGUGGCCCUGCGUGGCAUGCUGUGCCCCCUCCUCGUGGGAACUAUGAGUAACAAACUAUCUUUUCAAAGACAAUCGUCUCCUGAUCUGUUGGGCUCACCAUACCUGAAUAAAACCAAAAUCACAGACACAUUUCAAAACACAGAGACAGAGACACUCAGAGGGAAAGUAACAUAAAGACACAGAGAAAGCGCCAUGUGAAGACGGAAGAGUGAAGUGAUGUAUCUGUAAGCCAAAGAACACUCAAGGCUACCAGAAGCUGGAAGAAAAGCGUGGAACAGUUCCUUCCCUAGCACCUUCAGAGGGAGCACGGCCCUGCCAACACCUUGAUUUUGGACUUCUGGCCUCUGGAAUGUGAGACAAUAAAUUUCUGUUGUUUGAAGCCACUAAGUUUGUAGUAUUUUGUUAUGGCAGCCUAGGAGGCCAAUACACCACCUAACCAAUUAUUUUGUUUUGUUUUCUUUAUUUCUCGUUGUUCUCCUAUUGACACUUUUGUAUGGUGUCUUACUGUCAUUUCAUGGUGACCCUCACACACAUUAUUGCAUUUGGGUCUUGUGAGGUAGGUAGGCCAAUGGGCAGCCCGUUUAACCCAAGACCGAGGCUCAGAGAUUUCGGGGCACUUGCACAAGUUCACCCCACAAGGCAGUAAAUGGGGAAAAAAACUAGUUUCUACUGAGGGCUCGUUAUGUGCUUUCCUCACAUUGUCUCAGGACACCUAUACAACCGACCUGAGGGUUAGUUGCUGAGCAAUUAUACUAAUAAUCAGACAACCAUCAAUGUGAAAAGGAUGCUUUCUUCUCUCCUCACUUCCCCCUGUCUCUACUUGGCAUCUCAAGGCAGAGUGUGAAGGAGGUCAGACAUCCACAGCACUGUACCGUCCCGAGUGGAACCAGCCUUCACUGACUGGACCACCUAGGGAAGUGGUUUCCUCAGAGGGCAAUACCGAACCUUCCAGUGUGUAGUAAAACAGGACAAGAGAACUCCAGAGACCCCUUCUGCUGCCCCCAUGGGCUGUGUGGGGGUCCGAGGAGGGGAGAGUGGGGAGAGGUCUGAGGCUAUUCCAGCGUGUAACGCUGGCGUGAAAGCUGGAGCUGGUUCUGGUCAAGGCUUGGUCUGGACGCCGUGCAUGCCCCCGACCUCUGACGCCAGGUGCCCCUUGAAUCUCCUGAGGUCCCUGCAGCUGUGUUCUCUGUUUCUUCCUUGUCCAGUUGUUACAGCUUCUUCCACA